CAAUAAACGCUUGAUGUCCCCAGUGGCAUCCUUGUCGAUACAAAGCAACCUAAGUCCAAAACGAGGUCAAGGUCAAACUGAGGUCAUGUGAUGUUUGGAGAUGAGGAAUGGUCAUAGGUUACAUCUGUAUUAGUAUCAAUUCAUUCUUUAAGUGGUAUUAAUGCUAGACGAAACGGUCCCAUUUGGUUAACCAAGAGAUGGCCCAUAUAAAGCAACCUAAGUCCAAAAUGAGGUCAAGGUCAAGGUCAAACUGAGGUCAGGUGAUGUCUGAAGAUGAGGAAUGGUCACAGGUUACAUCUGCAUUAGUAUCAAGUCAUUCUAGUAAGGGGUAUUGAUGCUAGACGUAACGGUCCCAUUUGGUUAACCAAGAGAUGGCCCAUAUAAAGCAACCUAAGUCCAAAAUGAGGUCAAGGUCAAGGUCAAACUGAGGUCAGGUGAUGUCUGAAGAUGAGGAAUGGUCACAGGUUACAUCUGCAUUAGUAUCAAGUCAUUCUAGUAAGGGGUAUUGAUGCUAGACGUAACGGUCCCAUUUGGUUAAUCUCGUACGGACGGACGGAC